rnacentral:rRNA from 1 species
CCUACGGGAGGCAGCAGUAAGGAAUAUUGGGCAAUGGACGCAAGUCUGACCCAGCCAUGCCGCGUGAAGGAAGACGGCCCUAUGGGUUGUAAACUUCUUUUCUCAGGGGGUAAACUCUGGAACGUGUUCCGGACUGAAAGUACCUGAGGAAUAAGCAUCGGCUAACUCCGUGCCAGCAGCCGCGGUAAUACGGAGGAUGCGAGCGUUAUCCGGAUUCAUUGGGUUUAAAGGGUGCGCAGGCGGAUAUAUAAGUCGGAGGCGAAAUUCUGAUGCUCAACAUCAGCCGUGCCUUCGAUACUGUAUAUCUAGAGUCAAGUUGGAGUAGGCGGAAUGUGUUGUGUAGCGGUGAAAUGCUUAGAUAUAACACAGAACACCGAUCGCGAAGGCAGCUUACUAAACUUUGACUGACGCUCAUGCACGAAAGCGUGGGUAGCAAACAGGAUUAGAUACCCUGGUAGUCCACGCCCUAAACGAUGUCAACUAGUUGUUGGGGGGGUAAAACCCUUUAGUAACGUAGCUAACGCGUGAAGUUGACCGCCUGGGGAGUACGGCCGCAAGGUUAAAACUCAAAGGAAUUGACGG